rnacentral:rRNA from 1 species
GACGAACGCUGGCGGCGUGCUUAACACAUGCAAGUCGAACGGAAAGGCCCUGCUUGCAGGGUACUCGAGUGGCGAACGGGUGAGUAACACGUGGGUGAUCUGCCCUGCACUUCGGGAUAAGCCUGGGAAACUGGGUCUAAUACCGGAUAGGAGCCAUUUUUAGUGUGAUGGUUGGAAAGUUUUUUCGGUGUAGGAUGAGCUCGCGGCCUAUCAGCUUGUUGGUGGGGUAAUGGCCUACCAAGGCGGCGACGGGUAGCCGGCCUGAGAGGGUGGACGGCCACAUUGGGACUGAGAUACGGCCCAGACUCCUACGGGAGGCAGCAGUGGGGAAUAUUGCACAAUGGGCGCAAGCCUGAUGCAGCGACGCCGCGUGGGGGAUGACGGCCUUGGGGUUGUAAACUCCUUUCGCUAGGGACGAAGCUUUUUGUGACGGUACCUAGAUAAGAAGCACCGGCUAACUACGUG